rnacentral:rRNA from 1 species
CAGUAGCCGCGGUAAUACGAGGGGGGCAAGCGUUGUUCGGAAUUAUUGGGCGUAAAGGGUGCGUAGGCGGUCUGAUAAGUCUUAUGUGAAAUCUAUGGGCUCAACCCAUAGUCUGCAUAGGAAACUGUCGGGCUCGAGAGUGGGAGAGGUGAGUGGAAUUUCCGGUGUAGCGGUGAAAUGCGUAGAUAUCGGAAGGAACACCUGUGGCGAAAGCGGCUCACUGGACCAUUUCUGACGCUGAUGCACGGAAGCUAGGGGAGCAAACAGGAUUAGAUACCCCCGUAGUCCCUGUCUCUUAUAC